rnacentral:rRNA from 1 species
UACGUAGGGUGCGAGCGUUAAUCGGAAUUACUGGGCGUAAAGCGUGCGCAGGCGGUUCUCCAAGUCCGUUGUGAAAGCCCCGGGCUCAACCUGGGAAUGGCAGUGGAAACUAGGGGACUGGAAUCUGGCAGAGGGGGGUGGAAUGCCGCGUGUAGCAGUGAAAUGCGUAGAGAUGUGGAGGAAUAUCAAUGGCGAAGGCAGCCCCCUGGGAUAAUAUUGACGCUCAUGCACGAAAGCGUGGGGAGCAAACAGG